rnacentral:misc_RNA from 1 species
CGCCGAUCGACAGAAUGAACGCGCUCAAGCCAGCCGAUAGAUAUCGAACCAUAGUCAAACUCCCCAGCAGAAUGAAUGUCCAUAAAUGCAAAAGCGUCCUGCGACGCCGACAAGCUAUUCGCAGAUGUGUUCGCCCGGUCGGAAAACAUUGCGCAGAUCGGACCGCGCAGGUAGCGUUUCGGCGGGGAAUGACGCCUUGGGGCA